rnacentral:rRNA from 1 species
UACGGGGGGGCAAGCGUUGUUCGGAAUUACUGGGCGUAAAGGGCUCGUAGGCGGCCAACUAAGUCAGACGUGAAAUCCCUCGGCUUAACCGGGGAACUGCGUCUGAUACUGGAUGGCUCGAGUUUGGGAGAGGGAUGCGGAAUUCCAGGUGUAGCGGUGAAAUGCGUAGAUAUCUGGAGGAACACCGGUGGCGAAGGCGGCACUCGCGA